GUGCUUGCUUCCGCAACACAUAUCCUAAAAUUGGAACAAUACAGAGAAGAUUAGUAUGGCCCCUGUGCGAGGGUGACAUGCAAAAUUUGUGAAGAAUUCCACGGAUAC